rnacentral:tRNA from 1 species
GGAUUGUAACUCGGUGGUAGAGCAUUUGCCACGCAAGUUAAAGGUCCUGUGUUCGAUCCCCGGUACCA